AUGAUCCGGGUAAAAAAGAGGGGAAAGUGGUUUUUUUCUUCUCCAUGGCAUCCCAGCCCUAAAACCCCAUCCUGGCUCUGGAGAAUUUCCAGCCCCCAAACCCCAUCCUGGCUCUGGAGAAUGUUCCAGCCUCAAAACCCCAUCCUGGGCUGCAUCCCUGGCUCUGGAGACCGUUCCAGCCCCAAAAACCCAUCCCGGGCUGCAUCUCUGGCUCCGGAGCAUAAGGAAACACCAACAGCAGAGGGAUUUAGGGAAUGUGACCCUUUAUUUGCCACAGCCCGGGCAGCGCCAGCCCGGCUCUUGCCAGGCUCCGGAGGACACCGGGGAAUCUUUGGGAGCCCCGCGGAGGUGGGAGGGAGCCGGUCCUGGCAUGGCCUUUGCUGCCGGAGCCGGGACGAGGCGAGGGCCCCGCUGUCACUUCAUCUUCUGCUGCGGCAUCUGCAGCACCUGCUGCUGCUGCUGCUGCUGCUGGCCCUGCAUCUGCGGCUUCCCGUGGCAGCCGCCGCCUCCCGAGCUGUGACAGCCGCCGCCACCGGAGCUGUGGCAGCCGCCACCUCCCGAGCUGUGACAGCCGCCGCCACCGGAGCUGUGGCAGCCACCGGAGCUGCCCCCGGAGCUGUGGCAGCCCCCGGAGCUGCCCCCGGAGCUGUGGCAGCCGCCGCCCCCCGAGCUGUGGCAGCCGCCGCUGCUCUGGCGCUGCUGCCGGUGGCACUGGUCCUUGUCCUGGCGGGAGCACAUGGUGCUGUGCUGGGUGACCUGUGGGGACACAGCAGCUGGCAGGGGCCUUUCCUUCCUGCUCCCGCCCUUCCAAGCAAGAGGAAUCCCGGUGUUCCUUUUCCCAGUCUCAGCCAGAUCCCAUAUUUCUGUUCAAAGAUUGCUCUGGAUCCUUUCCCCCCCUGGCAUUGUCCCACACAAGGCGCUGGGGACACCCAGGCCAUGCCUGGCUUUCCAAAGCCAGACCCAAACCCUCCCUCCACAUCCCCAUCUCUGCUCCCUCCUCACCCACCCCAGAACAAAUCCCAGCCCCGUUCAGGUGCAGGGAUCCAAACUCACCCUCCCCACCUGAAGGUUCUGGAGCCCCCCAGCUCUUACCUGAGCUGCUCGUGCAGGAAGAGACGAGGAGAGAUGAGAGGGAAUGAGGCUUUUGGGGACAGGAGCACUUUUAUACCCUCUCUGCACACCCCACCUGGAGAAGCCCCUCCCUGUCCCACAGCUCUGCCCGUUCAUUUAAUUCGCAGGUGGCUUUUUUUUUUUUUUAUUUUUUUGCCUCCCCAUUCCUCGGGCUUCUGGGGUGACUCACCUGAUCCACGCUGGGAUUGCCUCUCCUUCUAG
rnacentral:lncRNA from 1 species